GGACACAUACAAUCUGCAUGUUCUGAAGCGUGAUGUCGUGACAUCCUGUACGACAUCUGUCCCCAGUAUCAGAAUUUCACUUAGAAAUCAAAGGCUCCCAAACAACCCUGCUUGAAGAUUUAAUUCCAAUAGGCAUACCCAGAUAAUGGAAAGGAAUGUCCAUUUGUCUACAAUUCAGAAAUUGGGUUGCUUCCUGAAUCCAAUUGGCCUGAACCCCAA
rnacentral:lncRNA from 1 species